GAUGAACGCUGGCGGCGUGCCUAAUACAUGCAAGUCGAGCGAAUGGAUUAAGAGCUUGCUCUUAUGAAGUUAGCGGCGGACGGGUGAGUAACACGUGGGUAACCUGCCCAUAAGACUGGGAUAACUCCGGGAAACCGGGGCUAAUACCGGAUAACAUUUUGAACCGCAUGGUUCGAAAUUGAAAGGCGGCUUCGGCUGUCACUUAUGGAUGGACCCGCGUCGCAUUAGCUAGUUGGUGAGGUAACGGCUCACCAAGGCAACAAUGCGUAGCCGACCUGAGAGGGUGAUCGGCCACACUGGGACUGAGACACGGCCCAGACUCCUACGGGAGGCGGCAGUAGGGAAUCUUCCGCAAUGGACGAAAGUCUGACGGAGCAACGCCGCGUGAGUGAUGAAGGCUUUCGGGUCGUAAAACUCUGUUGUUAGGGAAGAACAAGUGCUAGUUGAAUAAGCUGGCACCUUGACGGUACCUAACCAGAAAGCCACGGCUAACUACGUGCCAGCAGCCGCCGUAA
rnacentral:rRNA from 1 species